AUCAAAUUGCGCCUUUUUGUUCACAAACCGCGGUGGAUUCAAGCGACGAUGUUCAGCCGUCCAGUUUCCGAAGUCCCCUAAAAAAAAGGAAGAAAAGAAACAUCUGUAUGCUUUGGAGAGACUUCGAAUUUUCCUCUUCUCAAGUUUCCUCACUGGUGCCCAAAAAUGACUGGUCAAGCUGAACAGUUGCUAAGGCUUCAGUGGACUGACUGUUCCUGUGGCCCUGGUACCGUCCACGAGAGAGUCAAUUUGAAUGGAAAAACCCAAAUUCAUUCAAGAACUUCAGAAGGCGACACCUUACUACCAACUGAUCACUGAAGUAUGGCAGUUUGGUCGCGGUGGCAUUCUCUGCUGUUCGCUAGACCAGGCUUGUAUUACUGACCUCAAAUGUGCAGCAUUUGCCUCGCAUCCGGUCACUGGUGACGCCAAGUGGUAGUAGUAGGAGGAGGAAAAGGUCAUCGGGGAUGGCAAGUGUUGUUUUCUAAUAAUAAUUUACUGACAGCCGGAAUUUUCCUUGAUUUUAGUAAAGCAUUUGACUCCAUUGA